GAUGAAGAACGUAGCGAAAUGCGAUAAGUAAUGCGAAUUGCAGAAUUCCAGUGAGUCAUCGAAUCUUUGAACGCACAUUGCGCCCCCUGGUAUUCCGGGGGGCAUGCCUGUCCGAGCGUCAUUGCUGCCCUCAAGCACGGCUUGUGUGUUGGGCCUCCGUCCUCCUCCCGGGGGACGGGCCCGAAAGGCAGCGGCGGCACCGCGUCCGGUCCUCGAGCGUAUGGGGCUUCGUCACCCGCUCUUGUAGGCCCGGCCGGCGCUUGCCGACACAUCAAUCUUUUUUCCAGGUUGACCUCGGAUCAGGUAGGGAUACCCGCUGAACUUAAGCAUAUCAAUAAGCGGAGGA
rnacentral:misc_RNA from 1 species